UUGACUCACACCUACAGUGAUGGGUGGGACUGUCUCAUUCAUGAAAUCUUGUUUACUGUGGUCCCCCUGUCAGGAGAGAACCAACCAUUUUGCUGGUGUAACUCCACUGAAGAAAACCUAUUGGGACAUUUUCAGGAGAACAGUUUUCUCUCUCUGUGGGGACACCGGUUCUGAAGUAGCUGUUCUCUUCAUUGUUGUACAAGUCUUCACCAUUUCUUUAGCAAGUUUCAUUCCUCCUUCAUAAGCCGAUGCUCAGAAAACUUGCCCUUCCUUCUUGGGUGUAUUAGCUGUUGACAAGGUAUGUCAGCAUAUUCCAGGUCUGCUUUUGCAAAAACUUGACCAAUUCAGUUCCUGAUAGGCCGUGUCCUUUCUACCUGAAGCCACCAGGGAGGUUUUUAUUUGUCGUUGUUGUUUGCUAGUUUUGGAACAGGUAUGACUUUUGACUGGACCCUUGGAAAUGGUACCGGUGAUUGAAAAAAUAAAAAGCCACAUUAGUCAUUCAUUUAACUACUCUGAUUCAAACUAGCACUUAUAUGCUAGGCGUAUUCCUAAUUCUCACCACCAUCCUGUCUUAUUUUAAGUUGAGGAAAUUGAGCCUCAGAUAGAUGGGACAACAUGUCUAGGUACUAAGAGGCAGAACUGGGCUAAAGACCAUAGGUCUACAUGAAUCAAAACACAGGAUUUUCUUUAUUUUUAAGAUGGUUAAUGAGUAAUGAGAGUCAAUUGAAAAAUUUUCAUCCAGCCCUGAUCAUUUAAAAAUAAAAAUCACAAGCCUGUGAGUUUUCCUCAAUGACAAGGGAUAAGUCUUAUUCAUCUCUCUCUUCCCACUGCUGACCACUGCUCCUGUCAUAACAUAGGUGACUGAUUAAUGUUUGUUGAAUAAAAAAAUGAUUGACCAAAUGAAUCAUCGAUACAAGAUGUAUUUGUCUCCACACAGCAUUUUUCUAAUGCAUAUUUAUAUUUUAUUUGACAGUGUUUGCAAAUUGCAUAAUAUUCCCCUUCAGCACAACUUGUAGAGUGGAAAUGCUUCCAUAUGCUAGAUGUUUCCCUUCAUUUGACUGAAGGGGAAACAAAGACUAAGAAAAACAUCACAUAGUGGCUAAGUACCCAUAUAAACACAAGUUAUAGCAUGUACUGUUCACAGAUGGUAUAUUUUGAAAGGGAGAUUUUGCAGAAGUUAUUAAAGUAGACAUUAAAUUUGGAUUAAUAUGGGUUGGAAAAUGUUCUUUCUCAGCUAAAUAUAGUUUUAUAUGAAUACACUAUGUUGUAGGAGGUAGAACAGUGAGGAAGAAGAGCAUGGGCUCUGGAGCAGCUUCCUAUAUUCACAUCUAGGCACUUUUACUUCAUAGCUAUGUGACUUGGGUGACUUACUCAAUCCUAUCCAGAUAUUAGUUUAACUCCUAUGUAAAAUGGAGCUAAGAACACUAUUUCCUGCAUGAGACGGUUGAGAGAACUAAAUAAGUUAACACAGGUAUAAUAAUUAAAAUAGUGUCUGGUAAAUGGCAAAGCUCAAUAAAUAGUAUCCAUAAGCCCAAUAGAGUCUAGUUCAGAAAAGCCAGAUCUGUUCUAUAUUCUCCAUCCCCAUUAAACCUACCUUUUUUCAGGAGCUCAUCAAGUCUUUUCUGACUUAUUUUACCCUCCAGCUCACCCUUCAUAUGGUUACUGGAGUGAAUUCUUGAAGACUCACAUUAAACUAGACCCUCUGUUUUCUUGAAACUCUACUAUUGUAGAGCUAACUCUGUCAGCUUGAUGGAGAAGUACAAUCCUCAUAGCAUGAUGUUCAGGGUCCUUUAUGAAUGCAUUCCCCAUUCCUCCUGUGGUCUUGUCUCUCAUCAUGUCCACAUACAUGCUAUACUACAAGUACCAAGAGAUGCCCAAAAUAGAAAAGUCAUAUGGGCUUGUUGAAUAAGAAAUACUUGAAUGACAGGAGUGAGUAGCUAAUUUUGCUGUUGAGCUCAUAAAGGCUACAGAGAAGAAGGAAUAUUUAAGUUGUGCCUUAAACAAUGGUUGAUAUUUGUGAAGCAAGGUCAAGUAGAAGGUGACCAAGUGUAUCACCUGUAUUGAGGGGAAGAUUUAUACCCUGACACAGAAAACAAGGUGUACUCAUGGAAUGAGAACCUGUGUAAUGCUGACAGGGAUGACCUAGAGGGAAUGCUUAAAUGCUGGAAUGAGGAAGAGGCAAUAGGAUCUUUAAAUCUAGCAUGAAUGUCUGGUUGGAUAGUUUUGUUAAUGGAGAUUAAGGAUAUACAGGAGAAAGGACCGUGUGUGUUUGUGUGUUUGUGUGUGUGUGUGUGUGUGUGUGAAACAAUCGGUGUCUGUUUUGUACACAUGCAUACAAAAACCACCUGGGAAUAUUUAGUACUAAGCUUCCAAUCUUUUCCCCAAUCCCACCCCCAGACCUGCUUCUGUCACACUUCCCCUUCUCAGCAAAUGGUUUAAGUGUCCACCAUGAUUCCUCUCCCGUGCACCCCACAUCUGAUCCUUCAGAAAAUUAUGCUGCCAUUUUCUUCAAAAUAGAUUCAGUAUCUGAUCAUUUCUCACUGCUUGAACGGCUACCACACUCAUCAGAGCCACCAUCAUCCUUUGCAGGAUUAUUGAAAUAGCCCCCUAAGCUGCCCCUCUGGUUUCCACCUUGCCCUCCUUCAGCCUGUUCUUAACACAGUGGCCAGGAUGGGCCUUUUAAAGAGUAGUCAGAUCCUGACUCCUCUGUCCAAAGCCUUCCAAGGCCAGCCCAUCUCACUCAGAGUAAAAUCCCCAAGUAUUCACAGCGCUGGUCUGCGUAACCCACCCCUCCCAACCCUGCAGCCUUGCCCCAUUGCCUCUGGGGCUUCCUAUUCUCCUGCUCCAGCCUUCUCUGAACCACUCUGCCAUCUUGGAUUCCUUAGCAUUCCUCAUGCUCUGCAUAGGAGCCUUCCAGCAACUGUCCCCCAGCCCGGAAUGGCUUUUCCUCAGGUGCCCACCUCAGCAGCUCCUUCUCCUCCUCCAGGUCUUUGCUGUGACAUCACCUCCCCAGUGAGGUCUCCUAUGGCCACCUUCCCUAAGAGGUAGGUUCCCUUCUCCCUCUGAUCUCCCAAUCCCUCCUUUCUGUUUUUUUCCCCUUUAGUACAUAUCACCAUCAAUCAUACUCUAUAUUUUACCUUUAAAUUUUAUCGACUGUUUGUAUUUCUCCCACUGUCUUGCAUCUAUAAUAUAUGUUCCACAAAGUCACUGAUUUCUGCAUUGUUUUCCACUGUAGUCCUUGUACCUAACAGUGCCUGACCACAAGUUAUGAUACUUAAUAGAUAUUUGCUGAAUGAAAGAAUAAAUCCAGGUGGGGGUUACAGCAAUGUGUUGCUACAAGAAUCUGGUAUUUGCAGGGCAGACCUGAGUUAAAGAUAGAUUUGGGAUUCUUUAGCAACGAAAUGACAGCUGCAUGAGAGUAGCUGACAUACCAAGAAAAGGAUAUUUUAGUGAAAUUCAAAAAAAAUAACCAACAUAAAGCCUGAAAAAAAAUAAUAAAGACUCUGCAGAUGAAGCAGCAGAGUUGAGAGCCACAGCCUCAGGGUUAUUGACUUGUGUUAAAAAUCUUUGCCUCCCCGUUUACUAGCUGUAUGACCCUGAGAAAGUGACUGGAUCAUUCUUGGCUUCCCUGUUCUUAAGGGUAAUUAGAAAAUAAGAUUUCUACUUCACAGGGCUAUUAAGAGGAUUAACCAAUAAACUGCAUAUAAACCAGUUAGCAGAUGGUAAGAAAGAACAUACGUUCCUGUUGUUGAUACUAAUACCAUCACAUUCUCAAAAUCCAGGAAAGAAUCCUGAAAAAAAAAAAAUGUAAUGGAAGCUGAAUGAGGAGAGGCUUUCAAUAGAGAGAGGCAGUAAACGGUGGCUGUUGGUCUGUGGCCGAGGCACAGUAUGCUAGGAGAUUCAUAAGGCCCCAGGAUAGAGCUAUUUGUGAGAACAGUUUCACUUGAACCGUAAAAGUCAUAAACCCCAUAUUUUAAAAUAAGCUAAUGUUUUGUGGAAAAUAACAGUAAUUGUCCUAGAAAAAAAAUCAAAUGAAAACAAAACAAAACAAAACAACACUAGGCCCUCAACUGUGUCCAGCUGACACAAUGUAGGAACAUGGUGACCCAAAAACUUGCUUCUCUCUGGUGUUUAGGAGAUUUACUUGCUCACUAGUCAGAACUAGUUUGCUAGUUUAUGAGGUUAAGCUAUUGUGCAAUAUUGUUCAGCUGGCUCUGUGGGUGUUUAUUUACAGAUGGCUGCCAUCUUGAUUUAUUGUCUGUCAAAUUAUAAUUAUUAAGGAUGGAGUUAAUUGUCAUUUCAACCACCUGGUAAUUACCCACUGUGCUUUCAUGUGGUGACAAAUCUGUCCUUUAUAUCAAAACUGGAAGGUUCAUAAGAUAUUUCACUUCCAUGUUCAUCUCCAUUCAUGUCUUGUUCAAAGUAAAAGAUUAGUAGACAUUAUUGAAACUUUUAAGUGUAAUUUGUGAGCCUUCAGGUAGAAGAAUUGCUGAUUGUUGUAAAUACUUUUUAGUAGUAGGACUGGUAUAACAAGAAUCCAGUGACGUGAGUUACAAUAAUUGAAAUUAAAAUUACGAGUCAUGUUCUUUCAAAGAGUGGUCUAAUAAAAAAUUUAACAAUGCCCCUAGUAUAUUCCAUCAUGCAUCACAUAGAAUGAUGGUUUAUUAGCCUCAUUAUUUGUUUGCACUAUUGUUUACCAAAGCCAGUUUGUCCUCAUGCCCUCUGAACUUUUAGGACAGAAUUCAGCAGAGACAGUACUGUUACCCUAGUCUUUUACGGCGUUCAUCACUUCCACCUAAGGCUAUGAAUGGGAUUCUCUGCUUGCUUAAUUAGGGAGAAUCUGAUAGUACCAAUGGGAAUAAAGAGAGGGAGAAGUUUACGUGCCAUAGAAGCUGCCUUCCUCCUCCCAUUUUUGGUGUCUAGUCCCUUCUUCAUGUACUUUUCCUUUUUCAGCUUUUCUGAAUGUGUACAUUUUCAGGAGGGGAUACAUAAUUUGUUAAAUUAGGCAGCAGAGGGUCAGGUGGUAGCUUCCCUACCAAAGCACUACCCUGGGAUGCUCCCAUCAUCCGAUCAUCUUUUCUUGUCUCAGGAAACCCAUCAAGCAAGCAUCAUGUGUCAAGGCUUAUCUAGCUUUUAGAGGAGGGGCAUAAAAGGAAAAAGCUCAUGUCUCUGGCUUCUCAAUAUUUCCAUGCAGAAUCACCUUGUAUUUGACAAGAGCCAAAUCAGAGUCUUUGGUGGCCAUGAAGUCUCACCUUGGCAUCUGCUCUGCAGUGAGACAGCCUGUGCUGAUUUCUGCUAACAUCCCAUCCCAGCCAAAGAGGCAACCAUCCAACAGGCCUAGAGAAAAUCUGGGAGCAAUUUCUGCUUCCCUUCAUUUAAUGAGAUUGUGAAUCAGUUCAUUGAGGAAGAAAAGCUCAGGGUUAGAAGUGGGUAGCUAGGACCCCUCCCUCCCUCCCUCCCUCCCUCCCUCCCUUCCUUCCUGGCAAUCUUAGGCAAUAACAGAGGGCUGUUAGCUUCUAUAAAGAUAACGUGAAAAAUCUGAUAACAUGUCAAUAAAAUUCUUCUAAUGGCAGAUUAGGCCAUCUCAUCAUCAAUGCAUCUCAUCAUCAAUGCCAGAUUAUAACUGAGAUAGAUAUUUCUGCAAAACUCUUCUCUUAAUGCCAAUGUGAGGAUUAUUGUCUUCCUUGGCUCAACAUGGAGACUAGGUCCACGAAGGGGAAUUUUCUUUCUUGGUUGAAAGUGUACAAGAACUAUACUUUAUGAAAUAAAGCUCUGUAUGAAACUUUAUUCUACUUCUAGCCUGUUCUAUUCAGAUAUCAUCAGGAACUUUUCAAGGCAAAGUUGAUAGUUAAGUUCUAGAGUGGUUUGAAAAUUGUACUCAGAGUGGGUGACUCUGCGAGGCCAUUCCAUUCUCUAGGAACCAUUAAUUACUGUCAUGAUGAUUUAUAUGAAUGCAUUCAUUAUCUUCAUAUCAGUAAAGUACUGCUCAGUAUUUGCUUCAAAGUCUUGUGAGAGAAGUUGCUGUCUUUGUACCUCCUACAGAAAACAGUUGGAAGAGUUUAAAUGACAGGUGUGGGGACAAUGCUGUGCUGGUCAUAUUCAGAUUCUCCCUUGGUCUUUUGAUACUGUAUCCUAAAGACGAGCACAAAUCCUCUUCUUUAUCCUGCUUCUUGUUACGUCAACAUGGAAACUCAAAGGGGAAAGGAGUGAACAAAAUAGCAUAUUUAAAUUUAUCGGUAGAAAAUAAAGUUUAUCUAUCACAUUUCCUUUCCUUAAAAUCAUGGGUCCUAAAAGCUUGAGGAAGCAGCGUUACUAAGCCCGGUAGGAAUAUCCUAAUUACCAUCCUGGCCAAAGGGUGUUGGGAAGAAUGAUGACCUGAGAGUCAGCGGACCUGGGGUCCAGUCUUUGUCUGGUAUUGACUACUGGCCAGAGCACCUUGGACAACUCAAUUCUUUUCUCUAGUCUCAAUUUCCCUCCUUGAUUUGAUGAGAUUAUCGUUAGGAUUUCUCACAAAUCUGAAUUCUCCUGGAAGUUGAAUGCUGCUGGAGAAUGGGUGAAUCACUUGGCAAACCUCUAACUCCCGACUGAAUGUCUGUCAAGAAGCUUCCUCUUAUCACCACUAUCAAAACUUACUCUUAGGGCCAUACAAUUGUUGGCACCCAUCAAAUUAGUAAUUUCAUUCCUGGGAGUUUACUGUAAAGAAAUAUACUCCUUGGGAAGGAGGAAAGAACUACAUUUUUAAAAAGUUGCUCAUUGUGUAAUUCAAAAUUUGAUGUAAGCUCAAUGGCCAACAGUUGGAGAAUGGACCAGAACAGUUGAUGGGCUGUUUCAGUCAUGGGAACUACAAGGAGAAAUGUUUCUGAUAAUACAAGAAAGCAAAAAGCAUUUGGUCUGUGGAUUGCAAAUAUGUAUGAACAAGAUAAAUGUAAGAGGAGCAGACAUCUUUGGUAUACCUUCUAUGGGUUGGGCACUGUGGUAGGCAUUUGAUGACAUUAAUAAUCUCACUUACUUUUCAGAACAGCCAUGCAGAUAGGCGCUAUCAUUACCAAUUUACAGCUUAGGAACCCAUGGCUGAGUUAAAGUCACUUGCCAGAUCACUACCACUGUUAAUGGGCUAGUGCUCAACAUUCACAUGCAUGUACAGUUGAUCUUUGUUGUUCUAGUAGUUCUUUGUUGUUAUAGUUGUUAUGAUCUAUAAAGUCUCAGUCUCUUUGAACACUGAAUUAGUAAAUACUGAACAAUUGCCCUUAGGGAAAAUACAGGUUUGUGUUCCUGAAAGUCUCUGUUCACAACAUUUUCAUCAACCAGUCAAUAUAUUAAUAUAACCUUGUUUUCUGUGUGCUUCUGUUUAAGGACACCGUGUUUUAGUGUAUAUUGUCGAUUCAUUAACGUUGAACUCAUGGCCAAUAGCACUAUAAGCUCAAGCCUGAAUGAAAUUUAUCUAACACAAGUAUUUUCUCCGUAAGGCACAUCACAACCUUCUUGCACUUAGGAACGCUAGAUAGCACUUCAGUACUAUGCUUGGCGGUCAUUUUAAACAGUGACAUCACCAACAAAAAAUGGGAAAAGCAUGGCACCAAACAGACUGUGAAGAGGACACAUGUUUACAUCAUGAAAGCUGAAACCAGAAGACAGUGUCUUAUUCAACCUCAGCUGAGAACAGGUGUUUUGGGCAACUCAAAUUUUUCACUGCUCUGCACAUGUUUAUGAAUAACUUUGAAAUUGCCAUAUUGAUUUUAGGGUUACAAAUAAAUUUAGCAAGUAAACAAAUUCACAGACGCAGAAUCCAAGAAUAAUGAGAACCGACUGUAUAUUCAAUCAUUGGGCAAAUAUUAAUUGUGUGCCUACUAUGUGCCGGACACUGUUCUAGUCACUGGGGAUUCAGCAGUGAACAAAACAAAGCCUCUGUGCUCCUGGACCUAACAUUCUGGGGAAAGGGUAAAUGCAGGUAGUAAAGUACAUCAUGGUCAAGAUGGUGAUAAUCUAUGGAGACAGAUCACACUGGGAGUGGAGUAGGGAGGGAUUAGUGGAGUGUUCUGUGAACACUCAAGGAAAUCAGUUCAUAUGGACAUGUGUGGAAGGAGCAAUUUGGGAAGUAGGGACACGCAGUGUAGAUGCUGAGCAAGAAGCCAGGAUGGCUGCAGUUGGGGGUGGCAGAGAGGAGAUGAGAUAAAGACUGGGUUGGCAAAUGAUGUAGGAUUCUCUGACUUCAGAACCUGGGCUCUUGAAAGGAACAUGGGAUGAAGAUGCAGUAUGAGCACUGGGGUGCAUUCUAAGUUGUCAUAAGGUUGGCAAACGAAAAAGACUGUGAGCUUUUGCUCUUGAGAAAGGUUCCAGUAAGAUCCAAAGAAAGAAUCUUCGCAAAGGGGUGGAGGCUUCGCCAAGGCCCCCAGACCUCUACUUCAUCUGAAGCUUCAGGGUGGGUCACCUGAGGAUGCCUCUUUUAGGGAAGUGACUUCAAAUCAGCUUGGGAUUGGAGGAGACUCUCUGGGAGAUAAUCUGGCCCAGAGCUGCAAUACUGAGGACAAUUUCAUCAGCAUUGACAGUGCAUCUGAGGAGAGGCUGGUCACAGCAAACAAACCAUCACCCAGGACAACAGGAGUGAAGGCAGAGAGCAAGUCUGCACAGUAAGAUUAGCUUGUACAAAAACACUGCUCAACCAACUCAGCUCUGCUCACUGCACUCAUCAGAAUAUGAAUGCCACAGCCCAUGUUGGAGUCAGUUGCAAAACUCAUCUGCAGUUAGACAUCCUAAGACUCAACCCAUACCACUGACUGAUAUGGAAACUGAGGCCCAGCAAGGGAAACUAAUGAACAUCCCAUCAAACACCAAGGGAGGGGCUGAACCAGGAUGGAAACUUAGCUCUGGCCAAACCAUCAUUCUAGACAGUUAUUCCUAGAGUUAAAAAAAAGAAGAAAUUUCACAGAAUUCCCAGGUUUGCAGAAAAGCCACUGAUUGAGCUGCUGUGUUUGUGUCCAUGCAAGCAACUGCAGCCACCUCUACAAUUCAGUUUAGUGACUUUAUUUAUUUAUUUAUUUAGGCAACCUGGCCAUUCAACAUCUGCCUCUUGGAGGGCCCUGUGGAAAACUGUGUGGCCAUAAUGUGAGCCACUCCCAAGAGAAAGGUUCUUAGUCAGCAAAGGUGGUCACGCUAGUUGGAAGAGUCAAAAGGAAUUAAACUCCUGUCCCAUGAUCUUUAGAUCUAACAGAGGCACUGGUUCCCUCUUUCAAAGCUUUUUGUAGGAAGGCCUGUCAUUUGUGAGGCUCUCUGGCUUCAGGCUUCUGCCUAUCUUCUGCGAGGCACUGAAUCCCAAAAGAAGUGGAAAGUGGUUGGUCGGGGACAGUGGUGUGCUGGUAGACCCGCUCUCUGGGGGAUGGUAAAGGAAAGCCUUGGUUUCCUGCAUUUGCCCGAUAUCUGUGGUGCAAAUACUUUCCCCAUGGUGGCUUUCAAGCUACCAAGGAUUCACAACCGGCUCACAGAAUUCCUGAAAAUUUAACAAUCCACUCUCAUGCGCCUGCUGCAGCCAUUUCCAGCCCACCUCUGUAGCUCUCUAAACAGCAGGGCCUCAUGGAUGAGACUAGAGAGGGGAGAUGUAGCUGGCUCUGUUUAAUUCUGUGAGGUCAAACCACACCUGGGAGGGUGUGUCUGGUUUCAAAGCCUACAUUGUAAGAGGAACAUAGGCACACUGAAAAUUGUUUGAUUUGGGCAAGAAGCAAUUUCGUCUGAAAAGCCCACCGGGAGACCUAUUGCUGGAAUGAGAAUCCAGGGGAAGAAAAACACAGGGUAUCCUGGCCAUUGUUUCCAAAUCUCUGUGGGGCUGUAAGGUACUUUUCCUGAGGCGUGGAAUCUGAACAAAUGGGUUGGGGAGGCGUCUAGAACCGGGAUGCUGAUUUCAGCUCAACCUAGGACUUUUCCGAUAAAGCCACCCAGAGAAAGGCAGAGCUGCCUGGCACCAUGAGGAAUGCCAUCACUAAAAGAAUAGCAUAAAGAACAUAGGGCACCCACUAGGUGGGGCUGUGACCGUGGGGACUCCAGGGGCCCCUUCUAGUUCCUGGGGUCUGAUCCUGCAAUGGACUCUUCUUCCUUUUCCUAGGUAGCCAGUUUUAUCUUCUCACUUUCCACUCCCCUUUUCUCUUUCUCCUCUUUCCUGGGCUCUUUUUCUUAGCUGCCUUUAGCCUCUUUACUGGGUUGAUCUUCCUUCUGGGACAUUGACCUCUAGAGCUUCCUGCACAGAGCGGACUCAGCCCCUUCUCUUUCUCAGGACCCACUUACACCCCCGGGGGAGAGAGCAGGGGCCCUCCUUGUCUUAUUUUUCCUUGCUUUCUCUUCUCUCUUCCAACAUUCUCAGCUCCACAUUUGUGAUUGAAGAAGGGCAAAUAAACAAAUUGAAACUGAAACUGAGCAUUGGCCAUAAAGUGAGGACAUCUGGGAGGCUUGUAAGGAAAUUUACAUGCUUGCCUGGUUUCAGGUUGCAUAUUUUGUGUUGCCUGGUAACAAGCCCAGCGUUCCCUUUCAUGCUUUAUUCUCCUCCUAUCCCCUGUUUAUAGUGUAAUUACCACUGUGACAUCAUAAUCCCUCAUUGAACAGCUGUCAGGGGGGCCCAACUGCUGAGUAAACAGGGCUUUAUAAUCUCUCCUCCCAUGGGCUGGUUUACUAAAUAGAUCAAUAUUUGGUUUGUAGGCACAGAGAUUAGGAGGUGGAAAUGUCUUUUGAAAAAGCCCAAUCUCUUCCCAGGGCCCUGAGUGCACCUGAGAAUGCUGAAAAGAAAAGCCAAGUUCACGGACAAAAAAAGAAUCACCCAAGCUGCUUUCACCUGCCUGCGAUUUCCCAGGAAGCCAGUUUGUCUUUAAGAAGUGAGACCCAUUUGAGAAUGAGUAAUGUCUUAGGCUCUUUAGUCUAAUGCUUAGAGAAUUCCACUUUCUUCUUUCGCUCGGCCUCCCCCUGAGCUCCCCUUUCUCUGUCCCCAACUCCAUUUUAUUUAAUCUUUCUAAAUGGAUAUUGUAGCCUCAGGGACUAAAAGAAUGACACAUGGAUAAACAGGAACUAAGCUCCUAAGCUUUUCCCCUACCUGCCAUCUUCCUCACCACGCAUGAGGAUUAGAAGCAUCACAAAGAAAGCAGUCUCGGAAGUUUGUCAAAUAGAGAUUUCUGGGUGAUGGUUUGGGAAAGGAUGAUUUAGAUCGUGCCUCUCCUGGGUCGGGAAAGUGACUGAAACACAUAACAGCAGAGAACUUGAAGUGCUGGUUUGAGCUUCAGGAGAUGUGAGUUCUAGCCCCAGUGCUGCCUGUGAUUUUCUCUGUGACCUGGGACAAGUCCCUUGUGGAUACGACAGGAUAUGCGGGCUACAGGGAUCUCUGAGGCUUCUCCCAGUGAACUUCUCUCAUAUUCUACAUCUUAAGACAAUGGAUAUAUUUUCUCAAACUGGUCAGACAGUUAAAGAGUCAUCUUACAGAUUAUAAAAUAUAUACAUGGCAAGAGAACCAGGACAAUGACUGACUAUGUGACUAUGACUAUGUGACUAUGACCGUAAGACACUAUGAAUGGCUCUUUCUUCCCUAAGCCUGCAUCUGGCUUCAGACCCUUCUCAGCAAGAAGCUCCAGAAAGCUACUAAUGAUUGAUCAAGAUUAAAUGCAACUUGAAAACGA